rfam:Bacillus cereus Rock4-18 chromosome, whole genome shotgun sequence.
UGCAUUUCACUCCUUUUACAUGUAUUGUAAACCUUCACACUAAUGUGAAGG